GGUUAAGUGACUAAGCGUACACGGUGGAUGCCUUGGCAGUCAGAGGCGAUGAAGGACGUAUUAACUUGCGAUAAGCCCAGAUUAGGUAGUAAAAACCAUUUGAGUCUGGGAUUUCCGAAUGGGGAAACCCAAUACCAUAAGGUAUUACUGUUGAGUGAAUACAUAGCUCAACAGGGCGAACCGGGGGAACUGAAACAUCUAAGUACCCCGAGGAAAAGAAAUCAACCGAGAUUCCGAAAGUAGCGGCGAGCGAAAUUGGACUAGCCCUUAAGCUUUAUACGCGUUAGGUGAACAAGCUGGAAAGCUUGGCGAUACAGGGUGAUAGCCCCGUAACUGACAACACGUAUUCAGUGAAAUCGAGUAGGGCGGGACACGUGAUAUCCUGUCUGAAUAUGGGGGGACCAUCCUCCAAGGCUAAAUACUACUGACUGACCGAUAGUGAACCAGUACCGUGAGGGAAAGGCGAAAAGAACCCCUGUGAGGGGAGUGAAAUAGAACCUGAAACCGUGUACGUACAAGCAGUAGGAGCAGGCUUGUCCUGUGACUGCGUACCUUUUGUAUAAUGGGUCAGCGACUUAUAUUCAGUGGCAAGGUUAACCAUCUAGGGGAGCCGUAGGGAAACCGAGUCUUAACUGGGCGUUCAGUCU
rnacentral:rRNA from 1 species